UACGUAGGGUGCAAGCGUUGUCCGGAAUUAUUGGGCGUAAAGAGCUCGUAGGCGGCCUGUCGCGUCGGCUGUGAAAACCCGGGGCUCAACCCCGGGCCUGCAGUCGAUACGGGCAGACUAGAGUGCGGUAGGGGAGACUGGAAUUCCUGGUGUAGCGGUGAAAUGCGCAGAUAUCAGGAGGAACACCGGUGGCGAAGGCGGGUCUCUGGGCCGUAACUGACGCUGAGGAGCGAAAGCGUGGGGAGCGAACAGG
rnacentral:rRNA from 1 species